rnacentral:rRNA from 1 species
GAUGAACGCUAGCUACAGGCUUAACACAUGCAAGUCGAGGGGCAGCGCAGUGUAGCAAUACACGGGCGGCGACCGGCGCACGGGUGCGUAACGCGUAUCCAACCUUCCCGUUACUCAGGGAUAGCCCUCCGAAAGGGAGAUUAAUACCUGAUGGUGUUCAAAUUCCGCAUGUUAUUUGAACUAAAGAUUCAUCGGUAACGGAUGGGGAUGCGUGACAUUAGAUAGUAGGCGGGGUAACGGCCCACCUAGUCUACGAUGUCUAGGGGUUCUGAGAGGAAGGUCCCCCACACUGGAACUGAGACACGGUCCAGACUCCUACGGGAGGCAGCAGUGAGGAAUAUUGGUCAAUGGUCGGAAGACUGAACCAGCCAAGUAGCGUGAAGGAUGAAGGUUCUAUGGAUUGUAAACUUCUUUUAUACGGGAAUAAAACCUCCCACGUGUGGAGCUUGUAUGUACCGUAUGAAUAAGCAUCGGCUAACUCCGUGCCAGCCGCCGCGGUAAGAC